CCCAUAACUAUAGGGUCUUUCUCCAGUGUGACCCUUCUGGUAUUUGGUGAGGCAAAACUUCUAUGUACAGGAUUUCAUACAUUCUCUACACUCAGAAAGCCUUUCCCCAGUGUGAUCUUGCUAUUGUUGAAUGAGGCCAACCUUUUGGCUAGAUGAUUUUGCACAUUCUCCAUACUCAUAAGUGCUUUCCAGUGUGAUCUCACGAAUGUUGAAUGAGGGUGCUCUUUUUACCAACAGAUCUGCCAAAUUUUCAACAUUCAUGAUGUCUUUCUCCCGUGUGAACUCGUUGAUGUUUAAUGAGGUUUCCCUUUUGACGAAAACACUUUCCACAUUCUCCACACUCAUGUGGCCUUUCUCCAGAGUGAAUCUGCUGAUGUCGAAUGAGACUGCCCUUUUGAUGAAAACAUUUCCCACAUUCUCCACACUCAUGUGGCCUUUCUCCAGAGUGGAUCUGCUGAUGUUGAAUGAGACUGCCCUUUUGAUGAAAACAUUUCCCACAUUCUCUACACUCAUAUGGCCUUUCUCCAGUGUGAACUCUCUGGUGUUCAGUGAGGUGUGACUUGUACCUAAAUGAUUUCCUACAUUCUUUACACUCAUAGGGUCUUUCUCCAGUGUGAACUCUCUGGUGUUCCUUUAGGUGGGAGUUGCUCCUAAAUAACUUCCCACAUGCCGUACACUCAAAAGGUCUUUCUCCAGUGUGAACUCGCUGAUGCUGAAUGAGGUUGCACUUGUGAUUAAACGAUUUCCCACAUUCUCCACACUGAUAAGGUCUUUCUCCAGUGUGAACUCGCUGGUGGUGAACAAGGCUGCGCUUAUGGCUAAAAGAUUUCCCACAUUCUCCACACUCAUAAGGUCUUUCUCCAGUGUGAACUCUCUGGUGUUCAGUGAGGUGGGCCUUAUACCAAAAUGAUUCAUCACAUUGUCCACACUGAUAAGGUCUUUUUCCAGUGCGAACUCCCUGAUGAUUAUUAAAACUAUUACUUUUGCUAGUGAAUUUCCCAGAAUCACUGCAUACAUAAGGUCCUUCUCUAGGGAGAAGUCUCUGGUGAAGGACAAGUGAGUGUUUGUUGCUAAACGGUAUUGUGGACUCUCCACAGAUGUAAUGAGUUUUUCCACCCUGAAGGGGUAUCCCAUGCUUAGUUUCAAAGUUUGACUUCCCUGAAGUGUGAAUGUCCUCUUGUUGGAGUAAUCUCAAGCUGGACAAAAAGUCUUUCCCAACCUCAUGAAAGAUAAAUGGCUCAUGUGACAUAUGGAAUUUACAGUUCUUUACAAAAGAUGUUCCCUUGGCAUUGCUUCUGUACGAUUUCUCUCCAAUGUGCUGCUUCUGGUCUUGAUGAUGGUUUGCAUCGUCAUCCAAUUUUUUUUCAUAUGCCCCAAACCCAUUCAAUUUCUGAUUGUGUUGUGUUCCCUGGUGUAAGAUAUCUCCCAGGAGAGGGCCACACAUUCCCCAGAGGUGGACCUUCUUGGUACAUACACCUGUCCAAUGUGUCCUGAGUGGGGACUCCUGUUGUAUAGAAAGGGUCUGCUUAGAAGGUGUCUCGUCUUUUGCUCCAUACCAACAACCUAAAAGAAAUAAAAUGCUGGUAAAAUGCAAGGUACUUCCGAAGGGAAGUAUUACUAAGCCAUACCUGA
rnacentral:lncRNA from 1 species